UACGUAGGGGGCGAGCGUUGUCCGGAUUCAUUGGGCGUAAAGAGCUCGUAGGCGGCUUGGCAAGUCGGAUGUGAAAACUCCAGGCUCAACCUGGAGCCGCCAUUCGAUACUGCUAUGGCUAGAGUCCGGUAGGGGAGUGUGGAAUUCCCGGUGUAGCGGUGAAAUGCGCAGAUAUCAGGAGGAACACCGGUGGCGAAGGCGGAUCUCUGGGCCAUUACUGACGCUGAGGAGCGAAAGCGUGGGGAGCGAACAGG
rnacentral:rRNA from 1 species